rnacentral:rRNA from 1 species
GACAGAGGUUGCAAACGUUGUUCGGAAUUACUGGGCAUAAAGCGCACGUAGGCGGUUCGUUAAGUCAUGUGUGAAAUCCCUCGGCUCAACCGAGGAAUUGCGCCUGAUACUGGCGGGCUAGAGAUCGAUAGGGGUGAGUGGAACUCCAGGUGGAGCGGUGAAAUGCGUAGAUAUCUGGAGGAACACCGGUGGCGAAAGCGGCUCACUGGAUCGAUACUGACGCUGAGGUGCGAAAGCU